rnacentral:rRNA from 1 species
UUAAAGGAAUUGACGGGGCCCGCACAAGCGGUGGAGUAUGUGGUUUAAUUCGAUGCAACGCGAAAAACCUUACCUGCCCUUGACAUCCUCGGAACUUGUCAGAGAUGACUUGGUGCCUUCGGGAACCGAGAGACAGGUGCUGCAUGGCUGUCGUCAGCUCGUGUCGUGAGAUGUUGGGUUAAGUCCCGUAACGAGCGCAACCCUUGUCAUUAGUUGCUACGAAAGGGCACUCUAAUGAGACUGCCGGUGACAAACCGGAGGAAGGUGGGGAUGACGUCAAGUCCUCAUGGCCCUUAUAGGUGGGGCUACACACGUCAUACAAUGGCUGGUACAAAGGGUUGCCAACCCGCGAGGGGGAGCCAAUCCCAUAAAGCCAGUCGUAGUCCGGAUCGCAGUCUGCAACUCGACUGCGUGAAGUCGGAAUCGCUAGUAAUCGUGGAUCAGCAUGUCACGGUGAAUACGUUCCCGGGUCUU